GAUGAACGCUGGCGGCGUGCCUAAUACAUGCAAGUCGAGCGAAUGGAUUAAGAGCUUGCUCUUAUGAAGUUAGCGGCGGGCGGGUGAGUAACACGUGGGUAACCUGCCCAUAAGACUGGGAUAACUCCGGGAAACCGGGGCUAAUACCGGAUAACAUUUUGAACCGCAUGGUUCGAAAUCGAAAGGCGGCUUCGGCUGUCACUUAUGGAUGGACCCGCGUCGCAUUAGCUAGUUGGUGAGGUAACGGCUCACCAAGGCAACGAUGCGUAGCCGACCGGAGAGGGUGAUCGGCCACACUGGGACUGAGACACGGCCCAGACUCCGACGGGAGGCAGCAGUAGGGAAUCUUCCGCAAUGGACGAAAGUCUGACGGAGCAACGCCGCGUGAGUGAUGAAGGCUUUCGGGUCGUAAAACUCUGUUGUUAGGGAAGAACAAGUGCUAGUUGAAUAAGCUGACACCUUGACGGUACCUAACCAGAAAGCCACGGCUAACUACGUGCCAGCCGCCGCGGUAA
rnacentral:rRNA from 1 species